rnacentral:rRNA from 1 species
UCGCCAGAACACUACAAGUAAACAACUUAAAAUUCAAAGGACUUGACGGCGUCUCACCUACCUAGAGGWGCCUGUUCUAUAAUCGAUAUUCCCCGAUAUACCCUACCACUUUUUGCCUUAUCAGUCUAUAUACCUCCGUCGUAAGCUUACCAUAUGAAUGUUAAUUAGUGAGCAWAAAGAUUUAUACACCCAUACGUCAGGUCAAGGUGCAACCUAAAAAAAUGGAAUGAAAUGGGCUACAGUUUCUAAUUUAGAACCUACGAAUAAUCACAUGAAAAAUGAUGAUGAAGGCGGAUUUAGAAGUAAGGAGUGAUUAAAAUGCCCUCCUUAAUUUAAGCAAUGAGACGCGUACACACCGCCCGUCACCCUCUUCAAUACAACCUUUAACUGUUUAUAACCACACACUUUACUAAAGAAGAGGUAAGUCGUAACAUGGUAAGCAUACUGGAAAGUGUGCUUUGAAUAA